AGACUCCUACGGGAGGCAGCAGUGAGGAAUAUUGGUCAAUGGGCGAGAGCCUGAACCAGCCAAGUAGCGUGCAGGAUGACGGCCCUAUGGGUUGUAAAACUGCUUUUAUAAGGGAAUAAAAGUGAGUCUCGUGAGGCUUUUUGCAUGUACCUUAUGAAUAAGGACCGGCUAAUUCCGUGC
rnacentral:rRNA from 1 species